rnacentral:tRNA from 1 species
UGGUUCAGCAUCCUUGGUAGAACCUCUGUCUACCACGCAGAAGACCUGGGUUCAAUUCCCAG